rnacentral:lncRNA from 1 species
CUCGUCCCCAGAGUGAUCUGCGAGCGGCGUCGCUGCCUGACAGCUGCCCGUGGGGCUGGGUGGGCUGCCCCACCCCCGCGCCAUCCACCAGCCAGACCUGGGAGCCAGCUCCACGGGAAAACCUUUGCUUUAAAAAAAAAAAAAAAAAAAGGCAGGAGAUGGCUAUCUUCCGUUUAAGUUACUUCAGACCUGGGCUUCCUAUGGGGACAGUUUUUACACCCGGUCACAGGAUAUAAAUAGCUACAGGGAGAAAACGAGAGUUUUAUGGUUUGAGAGCCUGAAUAAAUAAGCAGGGUUUUCUCUUUCCACGUUUUCCGCAGCGCGAAUCGUCAUUUAAACUUCGCUGAAGUGACCACGUUCGUUCACUUGUAAGCAGCCUUUAAGAACAGGGCCCAGAGCCUCCCGGUAGCAGAUCCCUGCCCCCACCAAGUCCCUAGCCUUGCUCUUGGACUGCUCUCUGAAGGACACCCCUCUACUUAAAACACCCAGGGCACUACAAGCAUGAGCCCCCGGCAUAUCUGCAAAACCAGAGGUGGGAAUCAGGGGUGACCUUCUGGGACAGGAACCCGGCGAAGCCAGGGCUUACUGCGGGGCUGAACCUUUGAGGCCAGAGACGCUCGGACCUGCUCCUUCCCUGCCUUUCAAGAUGUACCACAGACUGAAGCUAACCUACAGGGCACAACGAACAUUCUACUUGGCAAAAAAGAAAAAAAGAAAAAAAGAAAAAAGAAAAGAAAAAGGUUAGUUUAGAAACUGAGACUUUUAGCCAUGCCAGGAAUUUUAAAUCUGAGCUGAAUGGAAAGCAUUCAGGAGACCAUGAACCUGGGACCUGGGAGAGGAAC